rnacentral:rRNA from 1 species
CUGCCAUCAAAACUUUUCAGCUAGAGUUUGAUAGAGGAAAGCAGAAUUUCUAGUGUAGAGGUGAAAUUCGUAGAUAUUAGAAAGAAUACCAAUUGCGAAGGCAGCUUUCUGGAUCAUUACUGACACUGAGGAACGAAAGCAUGGGUAGCGAAGAGGAUUAGAUACCCUCGUAGUCCAUGCCGUAAACGAUGUGUGUUAGACGUUGGAAAUUUAUUUUCAGUGUCGCAGCGAAAGCGAUAAACACACCGCCUGGGGAGUACGACCGCAAGGUUAAAACUCAAAUGAAUUGACGGGGACCCGCACAAGUAGUGGAGCAUGUGGUUUAAUUCGAAGAUACGCGCAGAACCUUACCAACACUUGACAUGUUCGUCGCGACUUUAAGAGAUUAAAGUUUUCGGUUCGGCCGGACGAAACACAGGUGCUGCAUGGCUGUCGUCAGCUCGUGUCGUGAGAUGUUGGGUUAAGUCCCGCAACGAGCGCAACCCUCACUUUUAGUUGCCAUCAUUAAGUUGGGCACUCUGAAAGAACUGCCAGUGAUAAGCUGGAGGAAGGUGGGGAUGACGUCAAGUCCUCAUGGCCCUUACGUGUUGGGCUACACACGUGCUACAAUGGUAUCUACAACAGGAAGCAAGACGGCGACGUUAAGCAAAUCCUUAAAAGAUACCUCAGUUCGGAUUGCACUCUGCAACUCGAGUGCAUGAAGCUGGAAUUACUAGUAAUCGUGGAUCAGCGUGCCACGGUGAAUGCGUUCCCGGGUCUUGUACACACCGCCCGUCACACCAUGGGAGUUGGUUCUACCUUAAGGCAAGGUUUCAAACCCUUGACCACGGUAUAGUCAGCGACUGGGGUGAAGUCGUAACAAGGUAACCGUA